rnacentral:lncRNA from 1 species
CCUCGGGGAGCUGGGGACGCCGGAGCCGCGGCGCUGGGGCCCCGAACUCCCCGGGGUCUGGUCCUUGGCGCCGGGGAGGCGGCUGCAGCCCGGCUCCGCCUUGGUGCUGGACACCUGGAGGCCUCGGUGCCAAAAGAGGCUGCGCCGGACCGCGAGCCCCCGGGGCGCCGCCCGGGCGGAGGGCGAGGGAGCAGGGAGGCGGGGAGAACGGAGCGCCGGCUGCAGGGAACCCCCGACUGGCUGGGGACCCUCGGCGCGAGGGUGAGGCGGUCUAAAAGGGCGAGCCCCUCUGGGAGGACCGUUCGAAAACGGAUGCCUAACUCUGCCCUCUGCCUCUUGACUUUCCAGCUGGCGUCCUCCUGUAGAGGAGGAACAUUUUUAUGAAAAAGAAGAAGAAUGUAACUCGUCAACCUCACUCUAAGGAAUGAAACGCACGGAAUAGCGAGACGCCUCUUCUCUAAGAGCUUAGAUUGACAGUCACUCCAAAAGGGGCAUCUGCGCAUCGCUUCCUUCACGACUUUUCCAGAUCACCCGUCUCCCAGCAUCAACAGUGAAGGAACGAAAAUUUGCAUUCUUCAUAGGUGGAGUAAUAAAGAUCGGCAGUGUUAUAAGUGGGGCACUGGUGGCACUGUACAGUUUACAGACCCCUUCCGUCUUCAUGUACUGGUCAACAAAUAUCUAUCGAGUGCCCUCGGCGUGCCUGCGCCCGUGCUGGACCCCGAAUGAGGCUACAGUCUGUCCUAAAAAUGCUCACGCUUAAAUGAGACAGAUGCUUGAGGAAGAUUGAACAAGUGAUUGGUGCUAACAGGAACAGAUGAUUGACCCAAUGACAAUGAACUGGGAUGCAGACAUUGAAAGACUAUUUACUUUCUUUUCCAGGUGAAAACUGGGAUUUGAACCCACAUCUGAUAUUACAGGUGUCACUUUUCAGAUCACGUAGUUUUUGACGUUCAUGGAGAAGAUGUCUCCUCUCCAUAUUCCACCCCAAAUGUCAACUACAAGGCUAUUAUUAGUGAUUAAUUACUUUGUGAAAUAAAACUUUGUUUCAAAAAUACAAAUACCUUAGGGUGUUAAAUG